AGUGAGAUGGCAGAGUGGUGAAUGCGCUUCGCUGUAAACGGAGUUGGGAAACCAAUCGAGAGUUCAAAUCUCUCUCUCACUA
rnacentral:tRNA from 1 species